rnacentral:lncRNA from 1 species
UGUCCGCCCUCCAAUGGUGAUCCACAUGAAAAUUGAACCAAGGACAGCGCUCCUUCUUUACCGUGCUUCAAGAGUUCUAGCUAUUAGAACUCGACUAGCCUAAUACCGGUCAGAUUUCUCCAAAAAACUGACUCCACCCUCUCAAAACCUCCUUUGAAGUUCUAAUCCUCCUUCUUUAGGAUCCUCACAAUCCUUGUUAGGAUC